rnacentral:ncRNA from 2 species
GAUAAGUCGAGGUAGACUUAACGUAUAUUUUCAGGAAUAUGGCCUGAUAGUCUCUACCCAGCUACCAUAAAAUAGCUGGACUACGUGUUAUGAGGUCACCGGG